GCAGUCAUAGCACACAUGUGACUUUCAUCUUUUCUUCCCCAGUUUAACUCUUUACUGGACCUUGGUAUGUCUCUCUCUGUUUGUGCUAGCCUUACUGACGUAUUGGUCCACACCCGCUUGCGUAUCACUCUCCCAUAAAGUCUACAGAUCUCAAGGCAUCUGAAGGAUACAGAAGAUACUGUACUAUAAUUCAGACUUUCAUGAGGGCAAUGGAUGUGGCUGUCUGGAACCAGCUCAAGGCAUCAGAAUCAAAAGCUCUGUUAAUCACCAUGCUGGAAAAGAAUCCUUGCCAUUUAAUGUGGGUGCUGAGUGCCACAGACUGGACCAAGCACUUGCUAUGUGCCAACUCACUAACACUGUAAGUUAAACACCACUACUAUCCCCCCUCUAAAGAGGUGGAAUCAUGGUGCAGAGAGAUAAGCUACUUGCUUCAUCAGCUAGAAGCCAGGAGAUGGCUCAGGCCAUCUACAACUGGCUCCAGACUGUCUCCUAAGUCGGCUGUUCUGUUCCUUUGUGGAGCUUCCUUACUCCCUCGUGCUGGCUCCGGCUGCACCCUUUCAAACUUGGGACCUUGCGCUUGCAAGGCAGGCGCCA
rnacentral:lncRNA from 1 species